CGGACCCCGCGGCUGGCGUUUUUUCCUCGGCGCGGCUGAGAGCCUGCGAGUUCCUCUCUGGGCCUCCCAGCUUAUUUUAGUUAAGGAGUCACCGAGGCCUAGCGUGCUGGUUACCAGAGCUUCUAGAAGCGGCUUGCCGGCUCCUGGCAUUUUCCGGGCCAGACUGGUUAUGAGGACGCGUCAGGGAGACUGUUGAACCCAGGUCUAGCGUUGCCUUCGUUCGGCCAGCGCCCGGGAGCUCGACUCCAGAUUCCCUGGGGCUGGAGAAGCCGUUGUUUCGUCCGUCGGGGCCAGAGGUGCAGAUGGCUAAGGGGUUGUUUGUCAUCCAGAAUUCUACAGUUUUGUGAUUCUUUUGUGAUUUAUAUUUAAUGAACAUGUCAACUUCCAAGAUAAAUCAUGAAAAUUUUGAUUUGGAAGAGACCCUUUGUUUGGAAUACGUUUGCCCUAGAUAUCUUCAUGGCUUAUUCUCUACCAAAAUGGAUUCUUUGGGACUGCCCUUUUAUUUUGUUAUAAUUGGUCCACUUUCUGGUUUUUUCCUUUCCCUUCAUUUGGAAGAGCUGUUAGAAAUGUUUACAGUGCACUUAUUCCUCACAAAAGCCCUGUGAAGUAGACAUUAUUAACUCCUUUUUAAGGAUGCUGCUAAUAAAAGCCAGAAUGUGUUAUGAAGGUACAACCCAAGCUGCAACUUCACUCUUCAGCAGCAGGAACUACUCUCUAAUGAGUGAUGUACUCCAGAUUGAAAAUUCCUCAAGUGAAAUGCUUGAGAUUAAGUAAGGUGUCCUUGUAAGAAGAGGGACAGACGCCAGGGAUGCAUGUACACAGAGAAGAGACCAUGUAAGGACACGUUGAAAAGGUGGCCAUCUGCAGGCCAAGAAAAGAGGCCUUAGGAGGAACCAAACCUGCUGACACUUUGAUCUUGGAUUUCUAGCACCUAGAACUAUGAGAAAAUAAAUUUCUGUUGUCUGAGCCACCCACCGCCAUCUCCAGGGAAUAGCUGGGUGAAUAUAUUUGCAAGUAUAUUUGAGGCCAAACAACAUGGAACAUAUAAACUGGUCUCAAGAGACAUUUUGGAUCAUCUGGUAAAGACGAUUAUAGCAGUUUACAACCAUCUUCUGAAGUCUUGGAGACAGUCCCCAAGGAACUUUUGGGAACACAUGAAGGUGACGUUAGAGUGAGUUAGGAGGAGGCUUGCAGUUUCACUGCCAGCCCCUUUGUGAGUUAGGGAAGGGCUUUGGUGGAAAUGCCCAAGUGUAAUUUAGGAAUCAUUGCAGUCUCCUCCAGGAAGAAGGGCCGUCUUCCUUACAGAUGGCUUCAGAUCUUCAUGAGCAAUGAAGCUGAAAGCUCCCAAUGAGUCCUCAUAGUUUAAUAUAUAUAAUAACACAGUAGCCAAUAUUUAUAUAAUGUUACAAAUAUUAUAGCACUUUUACACAUGACCGUACUUUUUCAGAAAUAGUAUGGCUUGUGAUGAGAGAUUUGAGUUUGAAUGCUUUUUCAACCUGUUGGCUUAUAUGAUCUUUUGUAAGUUACUUAACCUCUCAGGACCUGUUUUCCCCUCUGUAAAAUGGUGAUGGUGAUGGUGAUGGUGCUAGGGUCAAGGUGAUACCACCUUAUAAGAUAAGGACUGAAUGAGACAAAUACCUAGUAUAAUGUUUGAGACCUAGGAAGCACUUGAUUUCCUUUCCUUCUCUAAAGAUGGUUAUUUGUGUCAGUAGACCUCACAUUCCCACAAUAGUUAUAUGUUUAUGAAGGUGACAUAUUCAAAUAUGUCUCACAUUACGCAGUGAUUCUUAACUGCAGCAAUGGGGGUGGAAGUGGUGACGCCUGUAUUGUUAAAGAGCACCCCCGCACCCUCAGUGAGAGUCCUUGGUCUACACUUGAUACCCCAAGGAUCUCUCACUAGUUGGAUAUUUUUACUCCUGCUUUACUUCAGUGAAGUGAGGAUUAUUUACCUCCGUGGGAAGACAGUACAUUAAGCUAAUGAAAAAGGUAGUCGAGAAAUUACCUUCUCAUGUGUGGCUAGAUGCCAGGGAGCAUUGUUUUCUUGGGGUGAGGGGGUGCCUGUGAGGAAGUUGUGACGGAAAGAAUGGUGGAAAGACAGAAUACUCAGGGUCUAGAGGACAGUUGAUUGGGCUGUAUGGGAGAAAAUGGAUAAAAGGGAAGGUGAGAGGAACUGAAGACCAUUGUCAUUUUUCUCGUAGAUCCUCAUUUAGCAGUCUGUGACUUGGCUUCUUCUGGGGUACCUACUGCCUCUCAAUAGGAACUGCUGUCUUUAUGCUGUAAACUUGUCCCAUUUCCAGUCUCACCUACCCUAGGUAUGAGACCUGGACCUACCAGUUGAAUCGUAUACGGUUAUCUCCUUCAUCAAAGUCAUAUUAAGUACCAUAAGGUCCUGGAAUUUUAUCUGUCAAAGCCUAGUAGUUCUCCUUAUAAUGAUACAUAAUGGUUACAAAUAAAUUUUGGGAAGUGCAAAUAUGGAAGGCAAAGAGAGAAAGGAAAUGGUUUCAGUUUGCUAUGAACUGCUUACAGGCUAGAUUAACUGAGCAUCACUUUUGGCUUAUUCUAAAGAAGGGAUAUAAGACCAAGGUAUCCAUAAAGUUCUUAUUCGAAGUAUCCUUUAGAGUUUUGGGUAAUCACCUUAUAAUUGAAAAUGCUAAGGAUACUUCUUAGGCCAGGCAAUUAGAUUUGAGCUGAAGAGAUAAGAUAAUGCUGCAGGUGAAAUUAUGACUUUGAGAAGAGAGAGGCAUAUCAUUAUCUGGGGGAGCCAUGCCGUUCAGUAGACACAGAGGCUCCUGUAGUGGUAACUACAGACCCCCCCGCACUUCUAAGUUGUGACUUAACUGCUUUGGCCCAGCAGAUGCUAUCAGUAAACAAAGCUUCCUGGGAGUGUCUGCUUGAUCCUCUUUUAAGAGCAAGUUUCCAAAGACUGCCUAGGCCCCCAUCCUUAUUUUGUCAUCAUCUUCAAACUGUCCAAGUACUCAGCAAUGAGGAGCAAUAGACAAAAACAACGUGUGAUUUUGUGUUAAAUUGCAUGUAUAGACUAGAGAAGAGUAAAAUCAUAGUGCACAGGACCACUGAAAGACAGUUUCAUGGGAAAGAAGAAUUUAUGCUCGAGAGAGAGAGAAUUUAAAGAAAGACAAGGGAGCAUCUCUAAGGUUCUGUUUUUGUGACUGUUAAUUUUUACUCAUGGCUCCCAUACUGAAACUCCUGGAGAUGAUUGAUGUGAAAGAGGAAAUAAGACAGUGCUAGAAGGAGCAAGGUGCUCAGGCGUAUAGUAAGACAGUCUGAAUUAGAGCAGCUGGUUGGAUGUAUGGAGACUUUAACAGCUGGAGGGAGAUUAGGAAUUACAAAUUUCAUUAAUAGAACCAAAGCACAUCACAGAUGCCAUCAGGCAGAAGCCUUAUUAUGCAGCAAUGACACCCCGCACGCCCCAUCCCCCAAUUAACAAUGCACAGAUUGAGGUCACUGUGCACUUCCAACAAAUCUGGGUAUAGCUGGUAGCCAGUACUUCUCCUUGAAGUUUGACUUGUUCCCUCAAAUUGUUAAUACUUCUGAAAUGUUUUAGCUUUUGGCAUCCGGAUUUGAGCUUCCCUAGAUGUUUGUGGUGUACAUCAUAUUCUCGUCUUUGUACUUCAGUUAAUAUGGUGCAUCUGGUGUCUAAUGCCUCUGCACAUAUCACUGUGUGGUCAUGGACAAGGCCAAAGAAUUAACCUGGGUUGGGAGUCAUUAUGCUUUCACAGUUUACUUUCUCAGUUUGGUUCAGCAUUAUUCUCUCUUGCAAAAGGCCGAUUGGGAACAAGCUGGCAAUGCAGCAGAGUUAUUUCAGAAGUCCCCUGGGAAUUUGCUCUUUAGCAAUUAAAUUUUCUUUAGACUUUAUUCCUCUACCAACUACGAGUGUGAUUUUGAGCAAGUUAUAUAGCCUGAGGAUAGCCAGUUACCCACACUUCACCCUGGGCCUCUGGGUCUUCAUCUGAAAAGUGAAAGGACUAGGAAAGAGGAUUUUGAGGUCCUUCCACCUCUAAGAUUUUGAGAAUUUGAUAAUUCCUAACUAGUAAGAAUCAGAUUUUUUUUGAUACUAGAGCAAUGGGUUUGUCCACCCCUGUGUAUUCUCCCACAUUCAUCUGCCUCAAGUCUACUGUCACCACUUAUUUUCCCAGAUGGAGACUUGGCAGGCUGUUAAAGCCUAAUGUAGUUUCCUUAAGAAACUAGACCCAGCCACCUUGCCCAUACUCACAGGCUCCUAUCGAUCAUUCCCUUCCAUUCAUUUAUCCAUUCAUUCAUCCAUUCAUUUAACAAACAUUUAUUGAAGGCCCGUUAUGUGCUAUGUACUAAUCUUUAGAACCUGAUGUAUGGCUUUUUAUCCAUUUUCCCUUAUACUUGCGUUCUUUGACAAACUAGGCAGACGACAGCAUAGGAAAUGUAUAUUUAAUCAUUCUCUUGAAUGGUCAGAAUUCUAAAAUCAAGUUUUCUAUAACAAAAUGUAAUACAGGCAUAGUAGGUCCAAAGUGCCAGGGAGGCAGUGGUCAACAUGCAAAAAGUGUGGGAAUGGGCCUGGAAAGAAAACAUUCUUUUCCAUCAAAGUUUCAUUCCUCAGGGCCUCAUUUCAAAGGUUCAUUGCCCCUGCUUUCAGAAAUCUCUGUUUCAAGGAAGUUACAUGUUUUUGCUGCCUUAAUUUGAAUUUUGACUAGGCAGAGUCCUGAGAUCUAAAUUCAGAGUGAGAGAACUUGUGAUGGAACUCAGGCAGCUCUCUCACAGGACUUAAUUUGUAGAGUAGAAAGAAAGGAAAGGAACGUAGAAGCUCAACCAGCUGAAGAUAAUCCAUCAGGAAUUCCUGGUUGCCUGAAACUGAGUUCUGGCUCUCUGUGCUGAGGCAGCAGCCAAAGAGAGAGAAACUAAUGCCUAAUUUUAGGAAGCAAACAGUUUGUUUGCUCCCCUGUUUUCUAGAUCCUUUUCUACUCUACAUCAGGGUUUCUUAGUCUCAGCACAAUUGACAUUUUGGGCUGGAUAAUUCUUUCCUGUGGGUGGAUGGCCUGUAUGUUGUAGGAUGUUGAGCAGCAUCCCUGGGUUCUAUCCACUAGAUGCCAGUAGCACGUCCAAGUUGUGACAACAAAAUCGUCUCCAGAAUUUCCAGGUGUCCCCUGAGGUGGUGCAAAAUCACCUGGCUGUGCCCCACCGCUCUAGGUGCUGGUGAAAGCUGGGGCGAUCACUGUCCAUGCAGGGUAUAGAGUAGAAGCCUCAGACCUUGUGAUGGCAGGGUAUCACACACAGUCAAGGUGAGAGGUCUUUUCCUGCACCAUUCCAGGAUGAACAUCAUCUGAGAAGUAAAAUAGCAUUCGUUUGUUUUAAAAAUCAGGUGUUCACAUAGUUUAGAAAAUCAGUGUUGCCCAACUACAUUUUUUAUGUUAAAAUUAUGAUUUUCCACAUAUCUUAAGCAUGUGUCAGGUGGGAGGAGAUGCCAGGGCACUUUUGCAUUGUAAAUGAAAAGUGAAUCAUUUGACCCAUCACUAAAAUACAGCUACCUCUGAAUUGUGAAGUGGCAGCUGAUUGGCAGCUUCUUACUGAAUCCACCACAGUUUAAUUUGUGGAUUAUAAAAUGUAGAUAUAUUGCAAUCAAAACUUUCUAGAAACUUCCUCAGAGCAACAUUACAGCAGUAUAGCUAAAGAUUCUGAGACAAAUGAGAUGCAAUAUCCCAUUCUCUCACUCCCUGGAUGGGGAUGGGGAGGUCCCUGAGAUAUGGGGAUAUACUUGUCUCCACAUGCACUUUACUUCAGAGUCUAAUACACUUCUCUAGUUCAGAUGAAUUAUUUCCCAACUUUUAAUAUAUGUCUUUGAAUAUAAAUUUAUCUUGUUCAUAUUGAAGUCUUCUGUGGGUUGCUUUUGGCUUCUUCUUCUUGAUGUUAUUUGUUCACUCCCGAGUUCUAGACAUAAAUUCAUUUCUCCCCAGAACUAUAAAACUAGGUCAUAUCUUGUGGUGAAAUAGUUCUGCAGAUUCCUGGAAUUCUGAAAAUAACAGCAAUAGGAUACCAUUACAGCCAUUCAACAAACAUUUAUCAAGAACUGAGUCUCCCUUCCACUGUAUGAGUGUAUUUCUUGUUCAGAAAUGGGCUUGUUUUUCUGAAUUUUGAUGAUAUUCUAUUGAGGCCACAUGGUAUCAUGGGUUGCUAGGGGAAAGGCGAUGGCUUGAAUCUUCCCUUAAGGAAAGGGAUCAUCCUCAGAGCAAACAGGAACUGAGAGAGGAACUAUGGGCAGGCUCCUAGAUAGAAGUGGAAAGGUGGCUUCUAUCUGAGUUCUCAACCAGGCAAUGUGUGUGACCUAAAGUGUCAUGAUCAGUUAUAAUAUGUAUCUCAAGUAAUGAUCUCUUCAUUUAUUUUUUAAAAAUUGAUUUAAGGUUAUCCCUCUAUAAUUCUAGAGAGAAAGAGAUGGAGCUGCAGCUAACCAGGUAACAGUAUAUAACCCUUUGUGUACUGCAUAUGAACAUGUAUGUCUUGGUUUAUUUUUAAAAAAAUACUGCAGAUUUUACUGCUCUAAGGGAAUACAAGAUAAAAAUGAAUAAGCUAUAAUUUAUAGGUCAGAUUAUCUAGGCACAGUAUAUUAAAAACUCAUUUCCUUGUGGGAAUCAAGGAAAGAAGAAAGGGCUCCUUCUACUAAUGAGAUACUCAAAGGAGAGUUUCCUAGGGAAAUCUCCCUCCAGUGACAACCAUGGAGGUCGGAAAUGAUGGAAACUGGCAGACUUCCUUACAAAGAAUCUAUUUUGUGCACUGCACCAUAGUGUCUGGAGAACAGGAGAAAGAAUGAAAAGCAGAUCAAGAGAUCCCCAGCCAAGAUGGUGGAGUAGAAAGACCCUGAGCUCACCUCCUUUCACAGGCACACCAAAAUCACAACCAUUUGCAGAAAAACCAUCGAUGAGAAAGACCAGAGCCUACCAGAAAAGAUCUUCUACAACUAAAGACAUAAAGAAGGAACUACAAUGAGACAGGUAGGAGAGGCAGACUCAACGAUAUAGUCAAGUCCCAUACUCCCAGGUGGGUGACCCACACACUGGAGGAUAAUUACAUUGCAGAGUUUCUCCCAAAGGAGUGAGAGAUCUGAGCCCCACAUCAGGCUCCCCAGCUCAGGAGUCCUGCACCAGGAAGACAAGCCCCCAGAACAUUUGGCUUUGAAGGCCAGUGGGGCUUACUUUUAGGAGAGCCAAAGGACGGGAGGAAGAGAGACUUCACUCUUAAAGGGUGCACACAAAAUCUCACAUGCUCUGGAACCCAGGGCAGAAGCAGUAAUCUGGUAGGAGCCUGGGUCAGACAUACCUACUAAUCCUGGAAUGUCUCCCAGAGAGGCAGGAGGCAACUGCAUAUCACCCUAGGAACACAAGCACUGAUGGCAGCCAUUUUGGGGAGCUCCUACCAUGUGGACACUGGUACUGGCAAACACCAUUGUGAAACUCUCCCUCUAGCUCAUCAGCACCAAGAUCUGGCCCACCCAACAGCCUAUAGUCACCAGUGCUGGGAUGCCUCAGGCCAAGCAGCUAACUGGGCAGGGACACAGCCCCACCCAUCAGCAGACUGGCUGCCUUAAGAGCCCAUAGCUGCCUCUGGACAUGGCCUCACCCACCAAAGGGCCCAGGACCCAGCUCCACCCACCAGUGGGCAGGUACCAGCCCCAGAAUCCCCUGGACCCUGAUGCUGCCCUCCAGGAAGCCUGUUCUAGCCUCUGGGCCAGCUUCAGCCACAAGGGGGCAGACACUAGAUGCAAGAAAACCACAAUCCCAGAGCCUGCAGACCUAGCCUGCCACCAGCAGGCCAGACCCUGCCCUGGGGAGCAGCUGGGCCCCAGCCCUAACCACUAGCAGGCCAAUGCAAACUUGAGACACCCCAGACCCAAAUGUGUCAGGAACUGUGCCCACUCCCCCCCACCCCUCGCAGCAAUCCAAGACCAGCCCUGGGACCCCUGGGCCCUGCAGCUGGACUCCAGGACAUGGCUUUGCCUGCCAGUAGACCGGCACUAACACCCUUGCUUAACCCAUCAGUCGGUGGACAAUAUUACCAGAGUUUUCUGGACCCUGACUCCAUCCACCCAUGACCCAGCACUAUCCCUGGGUCCCCGUGGGGUUCUGCAGUCAGCUGCCUCUGCAGCCAGCAGCCUCCACAUGAAACAGGGCCUGGCCACGUUGGACCAAUGGCUAACCAAGCUUACCAGACCUCCCACAUAGCCUGUGACAACAGGAGGACCCAUGCCACCCUCAUAUGAAGGACUCUAGUGCGUACAGCUAGAGUGAUGAGAGAGGAGUGUGCUGUUGGGACGCAUAGGAGGUCUCCCACAGAAUGUCACUUCUCCACGGUCGUAAGAUGUACCCAACCUACCAGAUACAUAAAAAUACAAACAGCAGCGUAGCAAAAUGAGGUGACAGAGGAAUGUGUUCCAGACGAAGGAACAAGAUAAAACCCCAGAAGAACAACUAAGUGGAGAUAGGCAAUCUACCUGAGAAGGAGUUCAGGGUAGUGAUUGUAAAGAUGAUCAAAGAACUAGGGAGAAGAAUGGACACACAGAGUGAGAAGUUAAAAGUUUUUAACAAAGAGUUAGAAAAUAUAUAUUGAUAGAACAACCAAACAGAGAUGAAGAAUACAAUAACUGAAAUGAAAAAUACACUAGAAGGAAUCAACAGUAGACUAAAUGAUGGAUCAGUGAACUGGAAGACAGUAGUGGAAAUCACUGAUGCUGAACAGAAAAAGGAAUGAAAAGAAAUGA